rnacentral:rRNA from 1 species
UUAGUUUACUAUUGGAGCGGUUAGUGGCGGACUGGUGAGUAACACGUAAGCAACCUGCCUCAAAGAGGGGGACAACAGUUGGAAACGACUGCUAAUACCGCAUGACACAUCGGAGUCGCAUGGCUCUGAUGUCAAAGAUUUAUCGCUGAAAGAUGGCCUCGCGUCUGAUUAGCUAGUUGGUGAGGUAACGGCCCACCAAGACCGCGAUCGGUAGCCGGACUGAGAGGUUGAACGGCCACAUUGGGACUGAGAUACGGCCCAGACUCC